AGUCUUCACCUAGGUGGACGGGCCACCUUUACUUAACCUGGAUAAGGAACACAUGUUUUUUCACUUACCCCUGAGGCGGGGGGAUGAGCCCCAAGCGGGGCUCUCGCUUCUGGCGCCAAGCGCCCGGUGCAACCUGCUCUGGGGACAACGGCAGGUGGGGAUUUUGACCGGGGCGGUACACCUGUCAAAGUGUAAUGCAGGUGUCCUGAGGCGAGCUCAGGGAGGACGGAAACCUCCCGCAGAGCUAAAGGGCAAAAGCUCGCUUGAUCUUGAUUUUCAGUACAAAUACAGACCGUGAAAGUGGGGCCUCACGAUCCUUCUGGCUUUUUGGCUGUUAAGCAGGAGGU
rnacentral:ncRNA from 1 species